rnacentral:rRNA from 1 species
UACGGAGGGAGCUAGCGUUGUUCGGAAUUACUGGGCGUAAAGCGCACGUAGGCGGCUUUGUAAGUUAGAGGUGAAAGCCCGGGGCUCAACUCCGGAACUGCCUUUAAGACUGCAUCGCUUGAAUCCAGGAGAGGUGAGUGGAAUUCCGAGUGUAGAGGUGAAAUUCGUAGAUAUUCGGAAGAACACCAGUGGCGAAGGCGGCUUACUGGACACAUAUUGACGCUGAGGUGCGAAAGCGUGGGGAGCAAACAGG